rnacentral:lncRNA from 1 species
GGUGUCUAACGUUGAUCAUAUUCGCUAACGAUUCUGGCACAGAACCUGACAGUUGGUUUUCAUCUAGUUGGAGUCUAUUCAUAUUCGUAAGGUUGCCAAGCUCAUCCGGUAAACUGUAGAACCUGACAGUUGGUUUUCAUCUAGUUGGAGUCUAUUCAUAUUCGUAAGGUUGCCAAGCUCAUCCGGUAAACUGCCAGAUAAUUUAUUUCCAUUCAAGAGCCUGCGUAUAAAACAUCUCAAUUAAAGGCUUAUGCUAUAAGCUGUAAUCAUACAAAAAC